CAUUUGAGUGAGUGGCGAACUGGUGAGUAACACGUGGGAAACCUGCCCAGAAGCGGGGGAUAACACCUGGAAACAGAUGCUAAUACCGCAUAACAACUUGGACCGCAUGGUCCGAGUUUGAAAGAUGGCUUCGGCUAUCACUUUUGGAUGGUCCCGCGGCGUAUUAGCUAGAUGGUGAGGUAACGGCUCACCAUGGCAAUGAUACGUAGCCGACCUGAGAGGGUAAUCGGCCACAUUGGGACUGAGACACGGCCCAAACUCCUACGGGAGGCAGCAGUAGGGAAUCUUCCACAAUGGACGAAAGUCUGAUGGAGCAACGCCGCGUGAGUGAAGAAGGGUUUCGGCUCGUAAAACUCUGUUGUUAAAGAAGAACAUAUCUGAGAGUAACUGUUCAGGUAUUGACGGUAUUUAACCAGAAAGCCACGGCUAACUACGUGCCAGCAGCCGCGGUAAUACGUAGGUGGCAAGCGUUGUCCGGAUUUAUUGGGCGUAAAGCGAGCGCAGGCGGUUUUUUAAGUCUGAUGUGAAAGCCUUCGGCUCAACCGAAGAAGUGCAUCGGAAACUGGGGAACUUGAGUGCAGAAGAGGACAGUGGAACUCCAUGUGUAGCGGUGAAAUGCGUAGAUAUAUGGAAGAACACCAGUGGCGAAGGCGGCUGUCUGGUCUGUAACUGACGCUGAGGCUCGAAAGUAUGGGUAGCAAACAGGAUU
rnacentral:rRNA from 1 species